rnacentral:ribozyme from 14 species
GGAGAAUAGUAAGCUUGGGGAAAAGAUCUGGGCCCAUUGCUGAAACAAUGUCUUGUUUUGCUUUCUUUUUUUUUUUUUUUCAUUUU